GCGCGAGCUCGGGGGGCGGGGCUGUUGGAACUCCUGCUCCACGGCUUGGGGCCGUGUCUGGCCAAGGAGCACCGAGGGGGGCGGAGCCAUGGUACGGCUGCCCCCUGCCGGCCACUUUUCCAGCCCCCUCUAGGCGUUAACUGCCCGGCCAGCGACCGCCCCUUCUCUCGGGAGCUGCCGGAAAACCGGGGAUACAAGUUAUUUGGUCCAGAGACUGUCAGCCAUAUACAUCUUUGUACAGCACCCAGCACAAGGGAGCCCUAGUGUUGACUGGACCCUUUGGAUGACAUAGGACUUAUAUGAAUGACCAGGAAAUACAACUUGCAUCUUUUAUAUGCAUUUGGUAUUGUUACUACCUUGACUCUUUUGCCAGGCUGCCUAACAUUCUCAGCACUGUGCAACAUAUAUCUGCACCAAUUUGCAGGAAUACUGUAUUCAUGUACAGGAUUUGUUUUGUGCACCAUUACCUCCACAGCUAAUAAAUUAGUUUUAUAAAAUGA